rnacentral:rRNA from 1 species
CGUAGGCGGUCUUUUAAGUCAGGUGUGAAAGCCCGGGGCUCAACCCCGGAAGUGCACUUGAAACUAAGGGACUUGAGUAUGGGAGAGGGAAGUGGAAUUCCUGGUGUAGCGGUGAAAUGCGUAGAUAUCAGGAGGAACAUCGGUGGCGAAGGCGACUUCCUGGACCAAUACUGACGCUGAGGCGCGAAGGCGUGGGGAGCAAACA